AGAAUUGGAAAGACCAUCAAAGAGGCAAAAGAGAGGAGUAAAGAAGGCUGAACAAAAUGAAGCUGGUAAUCAAGGACAGUCCCAGAAGGGAAAUACAGGAGAACAGAAAGCUGAAAAAAAGAAUGAAAAAGGUGGAAAGGAAAUACCUUCAAAGAGACAAAAGAGAGGAGCACAGAAAGCUGACGAAAAAGAAAAUGCAGCUGAUAAUCAUAGAAAGCCACAGACAGA